CAGGGGGUACCGGUACAGAGUCAAUGUGGAGGCUAUAUACAGGGGGUACCGGUACAGAGUCAAUGUGGAGGCUAUAUACAGGGGUUACCGGUACAGAGUCAAUGUGGAGGCUAUAUACAGGGUAUUACGGUACAGAGUCAAUGUGGAGGCUAUAUGCAGGGGGUACCGGUACAGAGUCAAUGUGGAGGCUAUAUACAGGGUAUUACGGUACAGAGUCAAUGUGGAGGCUAUAUACAGGGGGUACCGGUACAGAGUCAAUGUGGAGGCUAUAUACAGGGGGUACCAGUACAGAGUCAAUGUGGAGGCUAUAUACAGGAGUUACCGGUACAGAGUCAAUGUGGAGGCUAUAUACAGGGGGUACCGGUACAGAGUCAAUGUGGAGGCUAUAUACAGGGGGUACCGGUACAGAGUCAAUGUGGAGGCUAUAUACAGGGGGUACCGGUACAGAGUCAAUGUGGAGGCUAUAUACAGGAGUUACCGGUACAGAGUCAAUGUGGAGGCUAUAUACAGGGGGGUACCGGU
rnacentral:lncRNA from 1 species